UUGUGCUUCUCUCGAGAACGCAUACCCGCGUAACCCGCAGUCUUACCUGAAGUCCUCAAUUCUGUUCCUGUAUCUUCUUCCUUUCGGCAGCCAUAUACCGGUCAACCCUAACCCUAAAUUAAUUCCAUGGCGGGAGACGAAGCGGAGACUCUGAAGAGGCAUCGAAGAUCUCCCGACGAAGGAACUGAAGGGGUCUCGAAGCGCCGGAAGCACAGCCACCGACACCACCACAGCAGUAGCGGCGGCAGCCAUCAUCGUCAUCACCGUCGUCAUUGCUGCAACAAAAGUGACAAUAACAGCAAACAUGAAGAAGGCGACUUCACUUGGCCUAUUGCUAUUGUCCCAGCCUCUAAUUCAUGUCCAGAUGACGAAAAGGAAGAAGGAGAGAUUCUCGAAGAAGAAGAGGAAGGUUAUCAAAUUGGCGAUGUUGCAAUAGUAAAGAAGAAAACAGACUCUGAUAUUGAGUCCGGCGAGAUUGAGCCAGAAGAAGUCGCUGACAGAUCGGAUAAUCGAGGUCGUGAUUCGGAGAGAUUUGGUGAGUGGGACUUCAGUUCCGGUAAAGAUCAGGAAGAGCUUGAGCUAAAUCAUAAUAUGCUGACAGAGAAUAGUAUAGAAGAAAAUGCUCAAAGUUCAAAGGCCUCCAAAGAUUACAAGGUUCAUAAUACUGUUUCGGUUUUGGUUGGGGAUAGGAGAGACAAUGAUGAGUACCAGCUUCUUGAAUGCUCUGACAGGAAAGAUGUUAAGAGCACACUUUCCAAGGUUGAUAUUCUUGGAAAUUCAAGGACUGAAUGUCUGGUUUUUGAUCAGAGAAACCAUGGAGAGGCAGAAAUUGAUGGGUUAAGCUCUGAGUAUGAAGCCUUCAAAUCCAGAGAGAAGGGAGAAGGGAGACAUAGUUGCUUGUCCUCCAGAGAUGACAUGCUGAACCAUGAUAAUGGGAAUUUUAAUCACAAAUUUCAUGGAGAGGAUGAAAAACCUCAUGCAGAGCCUAUAUCCUGUCCCAAAGAAACUGGAAAGGAGAAGGAUUGCAGGAAUGUUCAGGAAAAUGUGUCAAAAAGGCAUAAUAGGUCAAGAUCUCCAGUCACUAGAGAAUAUGUGGAUUCAAGCAAGAAAAGAAAAAUAGAUGAUCAAGGGGCUAAAACUGAUUUCUGUGGGGAGACUGAAUGGCGUGAUUCAAUAAGACACAAAUCAGAGAGAUAUUUGGAAUUGAAUGACGCUGACAGAAUUGAUGCAGGGCAUAAAAUAAGAUCAACCUUUCUAUCUAAUGAUUGGUUCCACAAAAAGGUCCAUACUAGGGACAGUUCAAGGUCUCAUGGUCGUUCUAGAGAGAGAAGAUCCCCAUCCUAUAGCAUGUUGCAAGAGAAGAGUAAAACUGAUUCUGAUCAUGAAAGAGUGGUUAGAUACUGUAGUGAGGACAGACAUAGUAGUAGAGACUGGGUGAAGGACAGGGAGGAGCAGAGUAGUAGCAGUUACAGAAGAUACAGUGGGCAAGAUAAUAGGCAUGGCAGUAGAGAGACAAGAAACAAAGAUAGGAAUAGGGUUAAGGAGAGAGAUAGAGCUGGAAAAAGGGAUCCAGACUGGGAUAGGAAUAUGGAAAGAGAUAGGGAAAGGGAUAAGGAGAAGACUAGAAAUAGGGAUAGAGACAAAGGCAGAGAUAGGGAGACCCGGUGUGACAGACCCAGCAGGCAUAAUUAUGAUGGACAUGAAGAUGACUAUCAUGACCAAGAGAAGUACAAAGAGUCCAGGCAUUCAAAAUAUGAUGAAUUGGAACAGCGGGAUAGAGUAAGAACAAAAAAUGCACCAAAGGUAUCUAAUUUCAUGAAUGGUGAUUGCGAGGGACAUGAACAGAAAUUACAAAGAGAUGAAGAAGAAGACUAUGAAGAUAAGAUUGCAUUGCAACUUGUAGACCAGGAAGAGGAAGAUCUUGACAGAAUUAAGGAGAGCAGAAAAAGAAGACAAGCCAUUUUAGAAAAGUAUAAACAGCAGCAAUUACAGCAACAGGUUCUAUCUCAUUCUGAGAGCUUGGGUAAAGAGGAGAAUUAUCUCAAUGUUGAGAAGCCAUCAGAAAAGCCACCCCCUCCAAAAACUGCUGUUAAUGUACCCCCUGAAGCUGUUGAAAGUGCGAACGAAAAUUCAGAUUCCUGUGCAGUUGAUGUGUCAUUUUCUGUUGGGAAUUCACCACUGCAAAAUGGAAUUUUGGCUCAUAAGAGGACUUCUGGUGCUGUGGUACUGGGAGAUGGUUCCCCAAAGAGUGAGAGAUCAGAUGAUAUGUUCUGUGACGAUAUUUUUGGUGAGUCACCUGCUGGAAUUCGUAAGCAGGGGAAGGGAGAUGGUUUACAGAUUGAAAGGAGCGGCCUUCAUGACAACUGGGAUGAUGCAGAGGGAUACUACAGUUACCGAUUUGGAGAAAUUCUUGAUGGUAGGUAUGAAGUUACUGCUGCUCAUGGAAAAGGUGUUUUUUCUACUGUAGUUCGUGUGAAGGAUCUCAAGGCUGGGAAGGGUGAUCCAGAAGAAGUGGCCAUCAAAAUCAUACGCAAUAAUGAGACAAUGUACAAGGCAGGCAUGGAAGAACUUGUCAUAUUGAAGAAGCUAGCUGGUGCAGAUCCUGAGGACAGGAGGCAUUGUGUUCGAUUUCUCUCAAGUUUCAAGUACCGGAAUCAUUUUUGUUUAGUUUUUGAAUCUCUUCAUAUGAAUCUACGUGAAGUUCUUAAGAAGUUUGGCCGUAAUAUUGGACUUAAACUGACUGCUGUGAGGGCAUAUGCAAAGCAGCUUUUUAUUGCGGUGAAGCAUCUGAGAAACUGUGGUGUUCUGCAUUGUGACAUAAAGCCGGAUAACAUGCUGGUGAAUGAAGCAAAAAAUGUGUUGAAGCUUUGUGAUUUUGGCAAUGCCAUGUUUGCUGGUAAAAAUGAGAUUACACCAUACUUAGUCAGCCGCUUUUAUCGUGCCCCUGAAAUAAUUCUUGGUUUGCCAUAUGAUCAUCCAAUGGAUAUUUGGUCAGUUGGUUGCUGUUUAUAUGAACUUUAUUCAGGGAAGGUACUUUUUCCUGGUCCAUCGAACAAUGAUAUGCUUCGCCUCCAUAUGGAAUUAAAGGGCCCUUUUCCUAAGAAGAUGCUGCGCAAGGGUGCAUUUACUGAUCAGCAUUUUGACCAGGAUUUGAAUUUCCAUGCCACAGAAGAAGAUCCUGUUACGAAGAAGAUGGUAAAGAGGCUUUUUCUCAAUAUUAAGCCAAAAGAUAUUGGUUCCUUGAUUACAAGUUCCCUUGCUGAGGAUCCAAAGAUGUCGACAAAUUUCAAGGAUCUUCUAGAAAGGAUAUUUAUAUUGGACCCAGAAAAGAGAAUGACAGUAUCUCAAGCAUUGAGUCAUCCAUUCAUCACUGGCAAGUGAACAAAGAUGCUGAUUUUCUGACUCCAGAAAUGAUGUUAAGCUAGAUAGAUGUUAUUGGUCUCACUUUUAUAGAUCACUAAUCAUUGGGCAUUUCCCUGUCUUUUUAUCUCUCUGUGUUGGACCAAGAGCAUUUGUCAGAGAGUUAUUGCAUGGAUGAAGUGCGAAAAAGAUAAAAUGAUGAUGUUUGGUCUGGAGAUCAUCCUUCUUGACAGUUCUUUCAGUGGGAUAUUUUCAGUCUAUUGGUUUCCUCCAGUGCUGAGGCAACGAUUCAGUGCUUUAGAUGCUUAGAAGGCAACCAGAAAGAAGGCUUUUGCACUGGAGAUGAUCGGUUGCACUGCUGUGGUGAACUGUAGUUUGGUAAGUGUUUUCCCCUAGAUUUUGAAUAAUGUUCAUUAACAUGUUCUGUGCUUUUCCAUUUCUUUUGUUUCACCAUUUUUAUUAAGUACAGUGACAGCAAUAGUGAACUUAUGGUUGCUAAGUUAUCUGGAUUUGCCUGUAAGUAUUCUACUUCUCAUCUACAUUGUGAACUGCCCACCUUAAUGUGGUUCCAGUUAUAGUUUCUUUCUGAUGGUAAGUGCCAUAUGCACUUGUUCUUUAGAGUUUUCUGUUCUCUAUUUUCUUUUAGUAAAUUUUCUCAGUCUGAUGGUAAUUGUCAAUUCCCUCUUGUGUGUGCCCAUCUUUUGUUUUUCUCUUAAUGGAAGGGCUUUAUUGCUUAGGAAAACCGUUUCUGUAUUAACUUAUCAAAAAAACCUGCCUGUGGUUUGAGUUCCAGAUAUCUUGGUUGCUUGAUUUCUCAGUUUAGGGCUAUACUAGCCUGAUAUUAUAUAGAACAAGAGUGGGGCCAUGUUUGCUAUAACAGAUUGCAAUUUGAUGUGCUUACAUAUGCUAGUCUUGAUGCUUUUCUCAUUUUUUUAUAGUUCUUUUAUGUGCUUUUGUCGAGCGCCAGUACUUGCCUACUCUAGUAACAUAUCUUAUAUAAAUUUAAUUUGUUGUUUGGAAAUUAAUUUUGCAGUAUAUAGAUGUAUCAUCUGAUCAAUGAUCCGUCUGUUGAAGAGGCUGUUCUUGUUAGUGGAUCCCUUUCAUCCUUGGGUAUAUGGUGGUGCAUUAGGGAUUAUGUUGUGAUAAAAAGAGGAAAGUCAGUUAACUGAUGUCGUAAUAGCCUUAACACAAUUUUAGAAAUCAACAACUUUUUUGAACAUAAUUCACAACUCUGUCAGAUGGUAAAAUGUGAAUCACGAUUUGUUGAAUGACUCUGAUAUAAUACCAUCUAACUGGGCUACAUGGCGAAUGGUGGGUUCAGGUUUCCUUUUGUGCUAUAUUGUGUUUAUGCAGUAUUGCACUAUAACACCAAUUGACAUUGGGUUAUAUUAUUCUUCUCUUCUGAUUGGGAAGAUUAAACUGUUCUUUAAGAAGAAUAUAGAAUGUUAAUAUGAGCUACAAAUGGAUGCUUUCUUUAUAUAUUUUUUAUGAUUGCAAAUAUAAGUUUAUAUUUAAAUUUUAGGUUUAAAAGAAUUUAAUUUCAUUUAAGACCGGAUGCCCGGCCUGACAUACAUAGACUGGGCCUGGGCAAUGUGGGUAUAUCUUGUCAGGCUCAGGGCGCAGGCCAGUCUCCAAUGGCCUGUGCAUAUUAUCACUUUUCUUUUAUUUUUUUCUUGUUUUUUUCCCUCUUGUAUCAAGUUCCUUGUGUGUCUUUUAAUUAUCCUUGCUUUGAAUGCAUGAAAUGCACCGCAUUUGCUUAAUCACACAAAUGGAGAUAGUGGCACUCCUUUAUCUCUCUUCUUUCACAAUUACUUCCCUUCUAUCUCUUUAAAUUUAAUGGCUGUCAAGGUGGUGGUUGUGUUCACUUUGUUGAGCUCAUAGCACUAUAUUUGUCAUUGAAAGCUGUAAUUGUUUCCUGUCUUUUUUGCUGCUGGUUGAGGUGAAUCUCUCACCUCUCCCCAGGCCGAUUGUAUUGAUAUUUUACUGAUUCUAA